CCUACGGGAGGCAGCAGUGGGGAAUAUUGCUCAAUGGGCGGGAGCCUGAUGCAGCGACGCCGCGUGAGUGAAGAAGGAUCUCGGUAUGGUAAGCUCUUUUAGCAGGGGAGAAAAUGACGGGACCUGACUAAGAAUCCCCGUCUAACUACGUUCCACCUGCCGUGGUACUACGUCGGGUGCCGGCGUGAUCCGGAUUUACUGGGUGUAAAGGGGGCGUAUACGGACAGAAAAGUCCGAAGUGAAAGCCCAGGGCUCAAACCUGGGACUGCUCUUGAAACUGCCGGACUGGAGUGCAGGAGAGGUAAGCGGAAUUCGUAGUGUAGCGGUGAAAUGCGUAGAUAUUAGGAGGAACACCAGUGGCGAAGGCGGCUUACUGGACUGUAACUGACGUUGAGGCUCGAAAGCGUGGGGAGCAAACAGGAUUAGAUACCCCAGUAGUC
rnacentral:rRNA from 1 species